UAUCCACCCAAAAGGAAGAAUCAUGCCCUUGAGUUCUGAUCACAAGGCUCUUCUGCCGUAAUUAAAAUGGAAUAAUCUUCACCAUCAACCAACCUCCAGAUCCUACAAGCUAUAUAAAAAGAAGAAAGGAAGACUGUUUCACAGUCGUGGAUGAGUAGCUGAUCACAGCUUUCAUAAAAUAUGCAUGCCAGCACUUCCGCACAAUUAUCUCGAAGAACCAGUCUCUUGUUCCAAACAUUUCAACAGCAAAAGACCUACCUGUAGCCAGCUAUUUAGAAAGUGAAGUGUUGCCUAGAAAAUAAUUAUUGAAAUCAAUAAACAAUUAAAAUUGGG